ensembl:lncRNA
GCCUGGAGCACAGGGCUUGCUCCCCUCAGCUCUUCAGCAUCAGGGGUGGGGGGUUCUCAAGCAGGAAUCAGGAGGAGGAGCGGGUGGCCAGAAGAACACACACGACGGACAGACAGACAGUGCAGUCACCCAUAAAGUAGAAAGCACUACUAACAGCACUGGAGGGUGUAGUGUUUCCUACUUUAUGGAUGAGUGUACUGUGGGCUUCGGAGACCACACCAUGCCGCCGCCACCCGCCACCAUCUUCCUGUGCCUCAGGACCAUGUGAGACAGGUGAGCACCUCUUGCACCCUUCCCACGCCACUCAGACCCCUAAAAGGCCUUCCCUGCCCCACAUAGGGCUGUCCUUCGUGGUCCCUUACAACUGCAGCUCUGCCCUGCCCAAAUCCUGAGCGGGUGGGAGAGGGCUGAACAUGUGGGCCUGGUGCCGCAGCCACAGGUGGCCGUGGGACAGGAGGGAAAGAAGGACUGGGUGGGGGGCUGGCGCCCCAACACUAAUAAAGAAUGGAUUCUGCUUCUCUUUUGUCUGAGACUCUGUUGCUGGGUUGGGGGUGCCGAGUGUGGGUAGCAGGCCCCCCGGGCAGCAUGGACACGCAACCCUGGGAGGGGGAUCCUCUCAGUUGUCCAAGAGAAAGGGGUUUGGUUCUGCCCACAACGGCUGAAGAGGCUCCAGGCCUGGUUGGGAUGCAGCCCAAUGAAAGAAGGGCCUGGGCUGCUAGGUGAGAAUCUCCUGCAGUCUGAAGAAAGGGGCAGAGAUAUGAGGGGCCCCCCACCUUGGGCCCAGCUCCAGUCCUGGUCUGUUUUCUAUUCAUUCUCUAUACUCCCCAAACUUAAGGCUGCUUACAUUUUUUUUGGUGGUGCUAGGGAUUGAACCAGGGCCUUUGCAUUGAGCUACAUCCUUAUUUGCUUAUUUAUUUGGACAGGCUCUCACUAAGUUGCUCAGUACAGGUUCAAACUUACGAUCCCUCUGCCUCAGUCUCUCAGAGUGCUGGCAUUAUAGGCAUGCACCAUGGUGCCUGGCUACCUCUGGUUUUAAUCUAUGUCUGUCUUUAUCCCAUGUUUUGAGUCAGGGUCUCUCUUUGUAGCCUAGGCUAGCCUCAGAAAUCACACUCUUCCUGCUUCAUUCUCUGGAAUGCUGGGAUUAUAGGCCUGUGCCACCACGGCUGGCUAGAGAGUCAUUGAUAGUAUAAAAAUUAGGCAGAAACAUUACGGCAUACUGUGUGCAUAGCACCUUAUACAUAAAUAAGGGCACAGAUACUAAUAUACAAAGUGCACAUGCACUAGCAUGGGUGUGCAUUUACAUAAAGGCUCUAUACACGUGCUGGCAACAUACACAUGCAAUGACAUAGACAUAGGACAUGGCUGGUAUGUCACACAAUGACACAUGGUUAUACACUCACCCAGGACACACACGUUCAGCAGUAUCCACAUGUACAAUAAUAUAAAACAUGAUAUGUCACUACCUAUACAAAGAUAUAGUGACAUUCACAUAAACAGUGGCUCCAAACACAUAAACACACAAUGACAUUUUCAUACAUGACAAUAUAAAAUAGAUACAUGUGGGGGGUUUUUUGGUACUGAGGAUCAAACUCGGGACCUUGUGCUUGCAGGCAGGCGGCAGAACCACUGAGCUAAAUCCCCAGCCCAUAAAAUAGAUACAUGGAGCCAGGUGUGGUGGUGCAUGCCUCUAAUCCCAGCCCUCAGCAGGCUGAGGUGGAAGGAGCAUCCAGAGUUGAAGGCCAGUCUGGACUACAUAGUAAGUUCAAAGCCAGGGUGGUCUACAUAGUGAGACCCUGCCUCAUAAAACCAAAAUAAUAAAAAUAAAAUAGAUACAUGAUGUUUAUACACAUACUUUAUUCAUUAACUCCCCAUACCCAUGGGUUCUGCAUCCAUGGAUUCAACCAACCUUGUCAAAAAUAUUUGAAAAACUUGUGCUUGUACUUACAAUCUACAAGCUUUCCUCCCCUUGUCAUUAUUCUCUAAAUGCAAUAUAACAAGUUUACUUGGCAUUUACAUUAUAUUAAAUUUUUUUGUUUUAUCUUUUGAGAUGAUUUUUUUUUGGGUACCAGGGAUUAAACUCAGGUCCUUGCGCUUGCUUAGCAGGUGGCAAAACCACUGAGCUAAAUCCCUGGCCCUGUUUUGUCUUUUUUUUUUUGGUACCGGGAUUGAACUCGGGUCCUUGCGCUUGCACAGCAGGCGGCCAAACCACUGAGCUAAAUCCCCAGCCCCUGUUUUAUCUUUUGAGACAAGGUCUUACUAUGUAGUUCAGGCUGGCCUUGAACUCACUAUGUAGCCCAGGUUGGCCUCAAAUUCACAGAGAUCCUACUGCAGCCUCCUGAGUGCUGGGAUUACAGGCAUGCGCCACCAUGCCCAGCUACAUUAUAUUAAAUAUUAUAGGCAAUCUAGAGAUGAUUUUAUUUUUCUUUUGUUUUGUUUGUUUUUUGGUGCCAGGGAUCGAACUCAGGACCUUGUGCUUGGGAGGCAGGCGGCAGAACCACUGAGCUAAAUCCCUGGCCCUACACUAUUAUAUCUUUUUUUUUCUGUACCAGGGAUCGAGCUUGGGAUCUCUAGAGAUGAUUUUAAAAGUGUACAGGAGAGGCUGGGGAUGUAGCUCAGUGAUAGAACACUUGCCUAGUAUAUACAAGGUCCUGCGUUAGACCCCAGCACCACACAUACUAAAAUAGUAUAUGGUAGCAUCUAUGUAGAUUAUGUGCAAGUACUAUACUUCUUUUUUUUUGAGACAGGGUCUUUCUAUGUAUCCCAGGCUGGCUUGGAAGGUCCUGCAAGUGCUGGGAUUACAGGUGUGGGCAACCACAGCUAGCUAUAUACCAUUUUAUUUAAGGAAGUUGAAUGUCAGUGAAUUUUGGUAUCCUGGGGAGAGAGGUCCUGGAACCAAUCCCCCUUCAAGCACUGAGGGAUGAAUAUAUAUAGAAUAUAUUAUAUUUAUAUAUUAUAUUAAUAUUAAUAUAUUGUAUAUUAUAUACA